rnacentral:misc_RNA from 1 species
GGCAAACCGUGUUGACAUCCAGUAUCAAUAUCAAUAUUCGAAAAAAAUAACCACUUAUUCUGCAUGAUAAGUGUGUCUUCUAAUCAAUGCAAACUCCCAAACUUUUAUGCCAAAUGACUGAAGGAUCCUACUAAUAGGAAGGCUAGAGUAGAACUUGAUUCCUGAAUAGUCACAGCAGCGGAUCCCUGCGGCCGAAUCAGUGAUCCAAGAAGCUGAG